rnacentral:rRNA from 1 species
GUGCCAGCCGCCGCGGUAAUACGUAUGUCGCAAGCGUUAUCCGGAAUUAUUGGGCGUAAAGGGCAUCUAGGCGGUCAAUCAAGUCGAAGGUGAAAACUUGUGGCUCAACCAUAAGCUUGCCUACGAAACUGAUUAACUAGAGUACUGGAGAGGUGGACGGAACUACACGAGUAGAGGUGAAAUUCGUAGAUAUGUGUAGGAAUGCCGAUGAUGAAGAUAGUUCACUGGACAGAAACUGACGCUGAAGUGCGAAAGCUAGGGGAGCAAACAGGAUUAGAUACCCUGGUAGUCCUAGCUGUAAACGAUGAUCACUGGGUGUGGGCAGGAAGACUGUCUGUGCCGAAGCUAACGCGAUAAGUGAUCCGCCUGGGGAGUACGACCGCAAGGUUGAAACUCAAAUAAAUUGACGG